GAUCUAGUAGUAUAGUGGUUAGUACUCCACGUUGUGGACAUGAGAACGACUCACGUCGUUCGUACAGGCUGAACACUCGCAGAGCCGUGGCAUCCCCGGCUCGAAUCCGGGCUAGAUCA
rnacentral:tRNA from 1 species